rnacentral:rRNA from 1 species
GACGAACGCUGGCGGCGUGCUUAACACAUGCAAGUCGAACGGAAAGGCCCUGCUUUUGUGGGGUGCUCGAGUGGCGAACGGGUGAGUAACACGUGAGUAACCUGCCCUUGACUUUUGGAUAACUUCAGGAAACUGGGGCUAAUACCGGAUAGGAGCUCCUGCUGCAUGGUGGGGGUUGGAAAGUUUCGGCGGUUGGGGAUGGACUCGCGGCUUAUCAGCUUGUUGGUGGGGUAGUGGCUUACCAAGGCUUUGACGGGUAGCCGGCCUGGGAGGGUGACCGGCCACAUUGGGACUGAGAUACGGCCCAGACUCCUACGGGAGGCAGCAGUGGGGAAUAUUGCACAAUGGGCGGAAGCCUGAUGCAGCAACGCCGCGUGUGGGAUGACGGCCUUCGGGUUGUAAACCGCUUUCGCCUGUGACGAAGCGUGAGUGACGGUAAUGGGUAAAGAAGCACCGGCUAACUACGUG